rfam:Gossypium raimondii Chr07_contig_642, whole genome shotgun sequence.
AAUAGAAAAAUAACAAAUCAGAUUUUCCUCCUGAUUUUCAAUUUUUUUUUUCUCUUGAAAAAGAUUCAAAUCCAACUAAAAAUAAUAAAAAUAAGGAGGAAAAAUCUGAUUUAUUAUUCUUCUAUU